GUUAAUGUAGCUUAAUAAUAUUAAAGCAAGGCACUGAAAAUGCCUAGAUGAGUAUUCCUACUCCAUAAACA
rnacentral:tRNA from 1 species